GUCGAAUGAUUUUCUUCUAUAUAACCUAAAGAAGCUACCGGUAAGGGUGCUCCAGUAAAAUGGCCCUACAAGUGAGAAUGUUGUUUCUGGUCGUCCUAAUUACCAUGCUCACUGUUUUGGCCAAGACCGAGCCAAAAGAAUCUGCGCUGGAAGAAACCUUGCAAUGCUUCAGGGAGCUAAGUGGAGUGCUUAACGAAUCGUUCCUCAAAUGCUGUUCCACGCGCGGGAUGACUGAAACUGUGGCCGCUGUGAUGAUGCAGUUGCAGUUACAGUUAAUAAAUGCCCAAAAACUUCUAUUCGAUCCGGCGCAUCACGAUUCCGUUUCGAACGGGUCAUCGGAGUCACACGAAACGCAUCAAAAAGUUGCAAACCGUGUCAUUAUGACUGUGCUCUCUGCCGUUGAAUAUUUAUUGCGCGAAUUGAACCAGACCAGCCUGGGCUUCACAGCAUAAUUUACAUCGACCGAGUACCGAGCUUCGCUGGCCAUCCGCAUCUUGUUUGAUAUGAUUGAACAUUGAACCCAACACAACGGAAGGGGGACACACAGAUUUCCCUGCCGGUAUCGGCGUUUCGAUUGGGUGUUCCAACGUCACGGAGUAUCUCGAGAUAGCGGCCGGGCAAUAGUAUCUUAUAAUUAUUAUUUCCAUUGUAUCUCUCCGACAAGCGGCGGCUCCCGAAACUUCAACGUAAAUUCGCUUGCCUACCCCAAAAACACCACAGGACACCCUAAUGAUACGGUGAUAUCGCUUAUCACUUAGACACGAUCGGCGAUCGAUCAUUACUUGCAGAUGCAUCGAGUGUUGCAAAUAUGAUUGCAGAAUAUAAUAGAACCGAGGCUGUGACACUAAUUUGGCAUGGUUUUACAUUUUUCCCUCCAAUAAACGUGACUGUACGAUGA